AUAUUACAGGGCAAAUCCAAGGAUACGUUUUGAAUUGGAUGUGCAGUCUUGGUUUUAGUGUCAAACUAUGUAUUUGCAACACACCAAUAAUACCUAUUCAACUGUAAUUCUUCAGCUUUGCUAACCUGUUGCUGAAAUACAACAAGGGGGUCACUUUAGCAGAUUUCUGUUCACUAUCUGCUCUCUAGCCACUUUGCUUUCUGAAAUACAGUGAGAUUUAAUCUAAUCAGGGUUAAAGGUCAAACCAGACAUCUCUGGUCAUUAUCAAGGAAAAACAUGUUCACCUGUGUUAAAUAUAAAUGUGGGGACCCCUCAGUACUUUAAAUUCAAAUCUGUUCUCUAGCCUCAAUGGUUAAUCAGAUACAAUGAUGUGUGAUUUCAGUCUGGUCAAAUGUCAAGAGGUUUCUCCAGUAAACAAGUAAUAAUAAACAAAUGAGUAAAUAACAUUUAAACAAAUAUCAACUGGGCCAAAAUGAAAUUUGGGGUCCUUGAAUAAUUCCCAGUGGUAUAGCAACACAGAGGGUGAGUCCAUUGUGGUCAAAAGUCAAAUAUUAGUUUUUGUUCAUUUUCAGGACAAAUGUUAUUUGGAGUAAAAAAAAAACUGUGGUUUCUGAGAAAUUUAAACCCAAAUGAAGGUGUUUUGCCUGACAGGUGACUAAGAUCUGGCCAGUGGGUGAAUUUUGUUCUUGCUGUUGUUGUAUUUUGUUAAUGCUUCAGUUUUCGAGACUGUUUCUAUUAGACCCUACAGAAAUUUGUGCAUUGCAAAUAAUUUGACUUGAAAAUUAGAAACGGCAUGAGCAGUGGUGGCUGGAAGAGCUGUGCACACUUUCUGCAUGGACAGUAUUAAAAAAAGUCAGCUCUUUCUCAAAGAGAUAUCUUAAAAAAAAAAAAAAGAAACAACACCUUUUGUUUUACUUGAUUAAAACAACUACACACUUUCAGAGUUUUGUUGGGCACAACAAUACAAUCUUGAUGAAGCAAUUCACUGACAGAUUUGUCAGCUUGACAAGAUUAAGUCACUCAUUAACUGGUUUAUUUUCAGGACAGGCAGAUUUUGGUUCAUCUCUUAUCCAGUCAGAGAAAGCUGGAGUAAGGCAGUGGCUCAGGCUGAGAGAGUGUGUGUAUGAGAGUUUCUGCUACUCCUAACUGAUGUAGGCUGAGGUGCAGGCACGUGUGCACGUGUGUGCAUGCAUUAUGCAUGCACCAUGUGUCAUAGAGACAGAGUGACACUGUGUGUACGAACACAGUGUCUCUGGCACUGUGCACAUUCUCAUCUAGAAAUGCUGUGCUGCAGCCCUGCAGAACCAGGUCAGGGUGAGUCUGACCCGAGGGGCGGUCAUGUGACACCAUGUGAGUCACGGUCCCCCACUUGUUUUCUUUGUCAGUCUGUACUGCAGUUUAGCACUUUGGGAAGAGGCACAAGUCGAAAAUUAAAGCUUGCACAGUAUAAUUGUACACAUUAGGUGGUGAAGGAGCAAAAAAACUGACAUUUAAAAUUCCCUUCUGUAUUAGCUCUCUGCUGAAGACUGUCACCUCUGCUCAGGAAGUGUAAAUAUGUAAAAAAAAAAAAAAAAAAACAUGCUAAUGCAUUUUCAGGAAGACUGAUGUUGAAAAAUAUAUAAAAUUUCCUAUGAAAUUAAAAGCAAAAUGAACAAACAUGCCCCCCCCCCCCCCCCCCCCCCCCCCAUCACCACCACCCAACCUAAGAUAUGUAUUCUACUCGGAUUGUGCAUGUGAAAAUCAAUGUUGAGAGCUUCUUAUCUGUUACUAAAAUAUUACAAGGGGUCAUUUAAUUGAGGUUAAAGGUCAAACCGGUCAUUUUCAGGGGAAAAAAACUUAACUGGAGAAAAUAUGGAAUAGAGACAUAGGAACUGGUGAAUAAUCUAAGACCAAGAUCUGCACCCUGCUACAAAGACUAUUGUUGCUUUUGUUUCUGACAGACUUGUAUUUUGCAACUAGUUUCACACCAAAAUUAAGACUGUGUCACCAGCAGUUCCUGAGAUGAUGUAGAUCAUCCACACAAACACAGCACGUGUGAUUCAGUGUAACAUCACAGGAUUGUAUUUGAGGAUUUGAUGGAGAUACUCGUAUGUGUUCUAAUGAGGUGGCACGGUGGAUUAGUGGUUAGCAGUGUUACCUCACAGCAAGAAGGUCGUGGGAUCACUUCCCACCAGUGCCUUUCUUUGUGGUGUUUACAUGUUCUUGCCGCGUGUUCCGGCUUCCUCCCACAUCGAAAGACAUGCGGGUUAGGUGGACUGGAAACUUUAAAUUGUCCGUAGGUGUGUGCGUGUAAACGUCCCUGCGAUAGACUGGUGUCCUGUCCAGGGUGCACUGCACCCCAAAACCUGUGACUGCUGGGAUAGGCUCCAGCCCCCCUGUGAGUCUUGACUGGAGUAAGUUGUUUUGGAAAAUGAAUGUGUGUUCUAAUGAGUGCUGUUGUAAUUCGGGGUUGCAUCUUAUUUUUAAAGAUUAUUG